rnacentral:tRNA from 1 species
GGGGCAUUGGCGCAGCUGGGAGCGCGCCUCCAUGGCAUGGAGGAGGUCAAGGGUUCAAACCCCUUAUGCUCCA